AUUGAACGCUGGCGGCAGGCCUAACACAUGCAAGUCGAGCGGAUGAAGGGAGCUUACUCCUGGAUUCAGCGGCGGACGGGUGAGUAAUGCCUAGGAAUCUGCCUGGUAGUGGGGGAUAACGUCCGGAAACGGGCGCUAAUACCGCAUACGUCCUGAGGGUGAAAGUGGGGGAUCUUCGGACCUCACGCUAUCAGAUGAGCCUAGGUCGGAUUAGCUAGUUGGUGGGGUAAAGGCCUACCAAGGCGACGAUCCGUAACUGGUCUGAGAGGAUGAUCAGCCACACUGGAACUGAGACACGGUCCAGACUCCUACGGGAGGCAGCAGUGGGGAAUAUUAGACGAUGGGCGAAAGCCUGAUCUAGCCAUGCCGCGUGUGUGAAGAAGGUCUUCGGAUGGGAAAGCACUGUAAGUUGGGAGGAAGGACAGUAAGUUAAUACCUUGCUGUUUUGACGUUACCAACAGAAUAAGCACCGGCUAACUUCGUG
rnacentral:rRNA from 1 species